UCCUCUUUUUAUUUUAGAUGGACUGCUUGCCAUCUAUCCUAGCCCAGCAUGCCCAUGCCAGGUGCUGUUGCUGCCCUAGGCAUGCCGAGGAAGAGAGGAGGGCAGGUAUCUUCCGGGCGGCCUCUGGAGUCAAAUCAGGACUUGAGGUACCCUGAGGAGGCUUGUAGCCACAGCUUGGAAGCGGCAGCACCGAAGCACACACAUUGAGAACAUCUCAACGUCCACGUCUGACCGAGGAUGGAUUUUGUCCGCUUGUCUUCCAAAAGCUAAGUGUCGGGGCUGCUUGGUUGGGA